rnacentral:ncRNA from 1 species
CGGGACGGACGCACCGCUGGUGUACCAGUUGUUUCGCCAGGAGCACCGCUGAGUAGCCAAGUGCGGAAGGGAUAAGCGCUGAAAGCAUCUAAGCGCGAAGCCCGCCCCGAGAUGAGAUUUCCCACUCCGUCAAGGAGGUAAGACCCCUGGGAGAACACCAGGUCGAUAGGCCCGGGGUGGAAGCGCGGCAACGCGUGGAGCUGACGGGUACUAAUCGGUCGAGGGCUUAUCCUU